GAUGAAGAACGCAGCGAAAUGCGAUAAGUAAUGUGAAUUGCAGAAUUCAGUGAAUCAUCGAAUCUUUGAACGCACAUUGCGCCCGCCAGUAUUCUGGCGGGCAUGCUUGUUCGAGCGUCAUUUCAACCAUCAAGCCCCCGGCUUGUGUUGGGGACCUGCGGCUGCCGCAGGCCCUGAAAAGCAGUGGCGGGCUCGCUGUCACACCGAGCGUAGUAGCAUACAUCUCGCUCUGGGCGUGCUGCGGGUUCCGGCCGUUAAACCACCUUCAUAACCCAAGGUUGACCUCGGAUCAGGUAGGAAGACCCGCUGAACUUAAGCAUAUCAAUAAGCGGAGGA
rnacentral:misc_RNA from 1 species